AGAACGAACGCUGGCGGCAGGCUUAACACAUGCAAGUCGAACGCUCGUAGCAAUACGGGAGUGGCAGACGGGUGAGUAACGCGUGGGAACAUACCCUCCGGUUCGGAAUAGCUCAGGGAAACUUGGAUUAAUACCGGAUACGGCUGAGAGGCGAAAGAUUUAUCGCCGGAGGAUUGGCCCGCGUUCGAUUAGCUUGUUGGUGAGGUAACGGCUCACCAAGGCGAUGAUCGAUAGCUGGUCUGAGAGGAUGAUCAGCCACAUUGGGACUGAGACACGGCCCAAAACUCCUACGGGAGGCAGCAGUGGGGAAUAUUGGACAAUGGGCGCAAGCCUGAUCCAGCCAUGCCGCGUGAGUGAUGAAGGCCCUAGGGUUGUAAAGCUCUUUUGUGCGGGAAGAUAAUGACGGUACCGCAAGAAUAACGCCCGGCUAACUUCGCGCCAGCAGCCGC
rnacentral:rRNA from 1 species